rnacentral:rRNA from 1 species
AAGUCGUAACAAGGUUUCCGUAGGUGAACCUGCGGAAGGAUCAUUAACGAGUUAACCUGGGGUGGUGGGGAUUCGAUGCUGGCCGCUCUGNNNCACGUGCUCGUCCCCCUGCCCCUCAUCCACUCACAACCCCUGUGCAUUAUGAGAGGUGUGGUCUCCCCUUUCAACGGGAGCAGCUCCCUUCCGGCCUCACCGCCGGGGGGUCGAGCCGGGACCACGCUUCGAACCCNUUCACACAAACCUUUGAAACAGUAUCGUAGAAUGUAUUGACCGUCAACGGUCGAACCUAAAUACAACUUUCAACAACGGAUCUCUUGGCUCUCGCAUCGAUGAAGAACGCAGCGAAAUGCGAUAAGUAAUGUGAAUUGCAGAAUUCAGUGAAUCAUCGAAUCUUUGAACGCACCUUGCGCUCCUUGGUAUUCCGAGGAGCAUGCCUGUUUGAGUAUCAUGAAAUCAUCAACCCCCGCCUUCUUUGUUGAAGGUCGGAGGCUUGGAGUUUGGGGGAUUACUGCCGGUCGCGUCAAGCGGUCGGCUCCCCUUGAAUGCAUUAGCUGGGCGCCACGGUACGGCGGUUCACGGUGUGAUAGAUUAUCUACACCCACGGGACCUCGAACCGGUCGAGCUUCUAACCGUCCCCUCGUCGGGACANCCCCUUUGAAAUCCGAUCUCAAAUCAGGUAGGACUACCCGCUGACUUAAGCAUAUCAAUAAGCGGAGGAAANGAAACUANCANGGAUUCCCCUAGUANCUGCGAGUGANGCGGGAUGAGCUCAAAUUUAAAAUCUGGCGGCUUUGUCGUCCGAGUUGUAAUCUGGGGAAGCGUUUUCCGCGUCGGACCGUGUACAAGUCUCUUGGAACAGAGCGUCAUAGAGGGUGAGAAUCCCGUCCAUGACACGGACCGCCGAUGCUUUGUGAUACGCUCUCGAAGAGUCGAGUUGUUUGGGAAUGCAGCUCAAAAUGGGUGGUAAAUUCCAUCUAAAGCUAAAUAUUGGCGAGAGACCGAUAGCGAACAAGUACCGUGAGGGAAAGAUGAAAAGCACUUUGGAAAGAGAGUUAAACAGUACGUGAAAUUGUUGAAAGGGAAACGCUUGAAGUCAGUCGCGUCGUCCGGGACUCAGCCGUGCUUCUGCUCGGUGUACUUUCCGGUUGACGGGCCAACAUCGAUUUCGGUCGGCGGACAAGGACGUGAGGAAGGUGGCACCUCCGGGUGUGUUAUAGCCUCUCGUCGUAUACGUCGGCGGGGAUCGAGGACCGCAGCACGCCUUUAUGGCCGGGGUUCGCCCACGUAACGUGCUUAGGAUGUUGGCAUAAUGGCUUUAAGCGACCCGUCUUGAAACACGGACC